CGGGGGGAGCAAGCGUUGUUCGGAUUUACUGGGCGUAAAGGGCGCGUAGGCGGCCACCGCAAGUCGACUGUGAAAUCUCCGGGCUUAACUCGGAAAGGUCAGCCGAUACUGCGGGGCUAGAGUGCAGAAGGGGCAACUGGAAUUCUCGGUGUAGCGGUGAAAUGCGUAGAUAUCGAGAGGAACACCUGCGGCGAAGGCGGGUUGCUGGGCUGACACUGACGCUGAGGCGCGAAAGCUAGGGGAGCGAGCGGGAUUAGAUACCCCGGUAGUCCUAGCCUUAAACGAUGAAUGCUUGGUGUCUGGGGUUUUAUAGUCCCCGGGUGCCGUCGCUAACGCUUUAAGCAUUCCGCCUGGGGAGUACGGUCGCAAGACUG
rnacentral:rRNA from 1 species